GGGGCGGUAGUUCAGUGGGAGAAUACUUCGCUGGCAGCGAAGGGGUCGUGGGUUCGAAUCCCAUCCGCUCCA
rfam:Bacillus sp. CHD6a contig11, whole genome shotgun sequence.